GUAAGGGGAAGUAUAGGGGCUGAAACCUGACCGGUGCCAGAAGGUUAAGAAGGCGGGUGAUAGACGUAAGUUUAUUGCUUGUUUUAUAAGCCCUGGUGAACGUCAGCAGUAACUCUAACUGUUCUAAGGUAGCGAAGUCCUUUGUCGUGUAAGUUACGACACGUAUGAAAGGUUCAACGACUGUGCAACUGUCUUAAUCAUCUAUUCAGUGAAAUUGAAAGAGCGGUGAAGAUGCCGUUUAAUUACAUCAGGACAAAAAGACCCCAUGAAGCUUUACUGGAUCUUUACAUUGAUAAGAAUAUAAAUACUGUCGAGCGUAGGAGGGAGCCGCAAGGCGCCAAUGGAACACCUCCCUUAUUUAUUUUUGAGUCUUACCUAGUCGAAUGAAUCUUCGACGGGGACAGUGUAUGGUUGCUAGUUUGCCUGGGGCAGGCACCUGCAAAAAAGUAACGCGGGUAUACAAAGGUCAACUUGAUCCGGCUGGAAAUCGGAUCUUAAGUGCAAAAGCAAAAGUUGGCUUGACUGUGAGACUUACAAGUCGAAUAGCACUAGUUUACUAGAGCUAUGCCGAGACUAGAUUCUCGGUACAGGGUCGAAAGACGGUUUUAGUGAUCCUCGUGACCUAUUUGGUAUAGGCACGGGCUUACUGGAUAAAAGCUACUCUGGGGAUANNUGGGUUCAGAGCGUCGCGAGACAGCUCGGUCUCUAUCCGAUGUAAUCGUUCGUUUCUUGAGGGGAUUCGUCUACAGUACGAGAGGACCUAGACGAGGGAACCGCUUGUGUGCCAGUUGUGCCGUCAGGCGCAUUGCUGGGUAGCUACGUUCCUAUUAGAUAACUGCUGAAAGCAUCUCAAGCAGGAAACUGACCCCGAGAUAAGGAAACGUUGUUCCGCAAGGAGCGAGAGAUCGCCGGGAGACUACCGGUUAAUACUCUGCGUGUGCAAGAUCCGUAAGGAUUUAAGCUAAGCAGU
rnacentral:rRNA from 1 species